rfam:Aedes albopictus isolate Foshan contig136937, whole genome shotgun sequence.
GGUUAGUCUAGUGGUUAAGGCUUUGGAUCGCCAAUCCGAAGACGACGGGUUCGAUUCCCGUUCCA